rnacentral:rRNA from 1 species
GGUCGCCAACGAGUGGCGGACGGGUGAGUAACACGUAGGUAACCUCGCCCAGAAGCGGGGGACAACAUUUGGAAACAGAUGCUAAUACCGCAUAACAGCGUUGUUCGCAUGAACAACGCUUAAAAGAUGGCUUCUCGCUAUCACUUCUGGAUGGACCUGCGGUGCAUUAGCUUGUUGGUGGGGUAACGGCCUACCAAGGCGAUGAUGCAUAGCCGAGUUGAGAGACUGAUCGGCCACAAUGGGACUGAGACACGGCCCAUACUCCUACGGGAGGCAGCAGUAGGGAAUCUUCCACAAUGGGCGCAAGCCUGAUGGAGCAACACCGCGUGAGUGAAGAAGGGUUUCGGCUCGUAAAGCUCUGUUGUUAAAGAAGAACACGUAUGAGAGUAACUGUUCAUACGUUGACGGUAUUUAACCAGAAAGUCACGGCUAACUACGUGCCAGCAGCCGCGGUAAUACGUAGGUGGCAAGCGUUAUCCGGAUUUAUUGGGCGUAAAGAGAGUGCAGGCGGUUUUCUAAGUCUGAUGUGAAAGCCUUCGGCUUAACCGGAGAAGUGCAUCGGAAACUGGAUAACUUGAGUGCAGAAGAGGGUAGUGGAACUCCAUGUGUAGCGGUGGAAUGCGUAGAUAUAUGGAAGAACACCAGUGGCGAAGGCGGCUACCUGGUCUGCAACUGACGCUGAGACUCGAAAGCAUGGGUAGCGAACAGGAUUAGAUACCCUGGUAGUCCAUGCCGUAAACGAUGAGUGCUAGGUGUUGGAGGGUUUCCGCCCUUCAGUGCCGGAGCUAACGCAUUAAGCACUCCGCCUGGGGAGUACGACCGCAAGGUUGAAACUCAAAGGAAUUGACGGGGGCCCGCACAAGCGGUGGAGCAUGUGGUUUAAUUCGAAGCUACGCGAAGAACCUUACCAGGUCUUGACAUCUUGCGCCAACCCUAGAGAUAGGGCGUUUCCUUCGGGAACGCAAUGACAGGUGGUGCAUGGUCGUCGUCAGCUCGUGUCGUGAGAUGUUGGGUUAAGUCCCGCAACGAGCGCAACCCUUGUUACUAGUUGCCAGCAUUAAGUUGGGCACUCUAGUGAGACUGCCGGUGACAAACCGGAGGAAGGUGGGGACGACGUCAGAUCAUCAUGCCCCUUAUGACCUGGGCUACACACGUGCUACAAUGGACGGUACAACGAGUCGCGAACUCGCGAGGGCAAGCAAAUCUCUUAAAACCGUUCUCAGUUCGGACUGCAGGCUGCAACUCGCCUGCACGAAGUCGGAAUCGCUAGUAAUCGCGGAUCAGCAUGCCGCGGUGAAUACGUUCCCGGGCCUUGUACACACCGCCCGUCACACCAUGAGAGUUUGUAACACCCAAAGUCGGUGGGGUAACCUUUUAGGAGCCAGCCGCCUAA